GGGGGGGGGGGGCGGAGCGAGCGGAGCCAUGUCGGGCCGGGAGGGCGGCAAGAAGAAGCCGCUGAAGCAGCCGAAGAAGCAGACGAAGGACCUGGAUGAGACGGAUCUGGCAUUCAAACAAAAACAAAAGGA